rnacentral:rRNA from 1 species
UAACAGGAGGAUAGCCCAGAGAAAUUUGGAUUAAUACUUCCGUAGUACUAUUUAAUCGCAUGAUUUGAAUAGUUAAAGCUUCGGUGGUUAUAGAUGGGUAUGCGUAAGAUUAGCUAGUUGGUAAGGUAAUGGCUUACCAAGGCGACGAUCUUUAGGGGGCCUGAGAGGGUGAUCCCCCACACUGGUACAGAGACACGGACCAGACUCCUACGGGAGGCAGCAGUGAGGAAUAUUGCACAAUGGAGGAAACUCUGAUGCAGCCAUGCCGCGUGCAGGAUGAAUGCCCUAUGGGUUGUAAACUGCUUUUCUGCAAGAAGAAACCUUAGUACGUGUACUAAGCUGACGGUAUUGUAGG